GGAGCAUUGGUCUAGCGGUCAAGGACGCCCGGUUCUCAGCCGGGAGGACAGGGGUUCAAAUCCCCUAUGCUCUA
rnacentral:tRNA from 1 species